rnacentral:lncRNA from 1 species
CGCGCCUCCCGACCCCGGCUGCGCUUCACGCCCGGGUGGUGUCCCGCCUGGUGCAUCUCUUUUACCCACUCUUUCGCCCAUCACCUUCGGCGAAUACCGUGAGAGCAAGGGCAGGGGAGGAAGCGUGAAGAAAACAAAAGCACACACCUCCUAAGCACACGCCUCCUGCUCACUCUGGACCCCGCCCCCGAAAGGGAAGGAACCGGGCAGCAGGGAGGGGGGGGCGACGCCUCAAGCGCCAUCUUUUACGUGGGCGGAAGAAGUUGCUGCUUAAUUUUUCGUUUCCUCGUGGGACGCCGUAGGUACGUCCUGGAGUUUUCGAUUUGCGAUUACGUGAACGCGCGAGCUCCGUGAGAGGGGCGGCGGGGACUGCUCCGCCGCGUGCGUCGGGAAGAUGCGGAGCGAGGUGUCGGCAGGUGUCGGCCGUGUUGUGUUUAGUGCGCGAGGCUGCUGGGCUCCCAGGAAGCCCGGGUAUAGGUGUCGUCAUCCAGCUUUGUGCAGUUUCAGAGCUCACUGAGACCUGGUACACACACCAGGCUGGUGGUACUAAGUUGAUGACAGCUCUUUCUCAGAAAUGUCUUCUGUGUUACUUCAGAGCUGGAGUUGAGGACUUGUUGAUUACCUCCGAUUUAUCAGGAUUACAGCAAAUUAGAUUUAACUGUGACUGGCAUGUGAACUAUCUGAUGUUUGGACAGGGAUGAGGAAUAUUGCUAUGGACACCACGGUGAGUUUCAUUUCUUUUAAGUAAUGAGAUUUUAUGUGCUUGCCUUAAUCAUUGCAGACUUAUCAAUAUGCACUUUAUGAUAUAUUAGCUUUUGGUUGAAAUAUGAAUGAGCCAACAACCAACUGAGGUACUUGCAGUUGGAACCUUGGUUACUGGAUAUAUUAAGUUAGUUCCGUGAAACAGUGUGGUAUAAAUGGUUUAGAAAGCUCUGGUAGGUCCACGUCUGUUCUAAUGAUGAGCAAGGUGGACAACACCCCUGUGAGUGAACAUUAGGGUCUCAUGUAUAUUUUCAGGUCCUUCUGAGACUCACCAUUCUAUAAACAAUAAGCUUCUCAAUGAGAGGAAUCACAUCCUCCACCAGGUAUUCACCUCUGUUCCUUCCUCCAUGCUGGUGCUCUGUACCUCACAAACCACAGCUGUGAAUGAUCUAAGGUCCCAGAUAAAGAGUCCUGAGGGAGAAGAAAUCCCUAGUUAAUUGCAGCAUCAUAAGAUGCACAGCAAGAAAGAGAACAAGUAGGAAGACAAGCCUACCAAUUUCUUAAAUCUUAGACGAGAUCAUUAGACAUCCUGAUAAGGUUGCCAUAAUCUGAUGGAAUUCAGAUGCAGUGGGUAGUGCGGAGUGAUAGUUUUGCUGCUGUCCUGCUAUAAUGCCUGAGUGACAGUGGACCAGUGGCAAAUGACUGGCAGCUUUCAAGCAUUCUGACUCCUUCUAUAGCCAUACACUUCCCAGGCCCAUUUCGGAAUGUGGCCCAGAGCCCGACUGCCUUCGGUUACCCUGACUUGCAGCUCUCAGCAUUUUCUUGUUUAUACUUGUACUUUACCACACUUACUAGUAUGUUGCUUUUAAAAGUAGUUUCUUUAUUUAUUUCAUGUGUGACUUCUGCCUCUCAACUUUGUCACGGGCUGUUUGAAACCCAGGACAGUGUGCUUACAAUUUCAUCUUCUAACUCCUUUGUUUUGGGCACAUAUCAGAUGAUUAGUACAUGCCAGCUGGCUGAUGGAAACUUCAUUUCAACUACUUAGAACUGUUACCCUUAGGCCAGGCUCCUGUCAUUUGAAAAUAGCUUUGACUUUAUGAGUCAGAGUCACUGUGUUGAAGGUUCAGGGUCACUUUGAUUUAAAGUGGGUGAGGAGUUCAUGUCUUUUUUGUCACCAGUGUCAUCUUUCCUACCUCUUCACCACACUGUUUCUUUAACAUAAAAAAGAAAUAGAAAACCUUAACUAUCCAUG